CAUGCGCUUAUUUGCACCCCUUGCCUUUGGCAAGUCAUUCAUUCAACGCAUAUUUUUGGAGAGUUUCCUGUGUGCCAGGGACUGUUCUAGGAAUUGGGGGUACAACGGUACGGAGGGUCCCUGUUCUCCCAAAGCUGUGUUUUAGUGGUUACCUGGGGAAAAGGCCAUCAUUCAGUUCUGGGUCCAGCCGGCUGACUGCUCAGCCAGAGCGGAAGUUGAGGACAACACCAGGUCCUGAGCCAAAUCGAAGGUCCUGGAACCGGGGGAAUUUCUCUCAGAGUGGUCUCAGCUAUGGAAAUGGAAACCAAGGACUGUAGUAGGUUGUUAGAAUAACGACUCCCCCCUCCCCGCCCCAUGAAUCGCAUGUCCAUGCAAUUUGUGGUGUGAUUUUGCCCCUGGAUCUGGGCUGGCCUGGAGACCAGCAGAAUGCCACAGAAGUGACACUGCUCAGCGGUCAUUUUAAAAAACGUUGUCAGGGAGGGGAGCUUGAACUCUGGAACCAGAUUCCUGGAAGACUGACUGAAUGCCUCUCCCUGUGACAGCGCCAUCCCUUGCCUGUCUUGGUGAUCCAAGGAUGAGUUGGCUGGGAUGCCAGCCCAGGGUUAAGGGAGAGAUGUAUUCACCCCCAAGGUCAGAGUUGGAGGAUUCUUCUUGGAUAUUGCUCAUGAAAUCAACAAGAUUGGUGGGGGUAAGGGAGUCUGUGGUCCCAAUGCCAAUGACGGAGUUAGAAUUAAGUCAACCGACCCAAGAAGAUUCAGGGGCCAACUUUGCACCAGAGCACAGUGGUUUGCUGGGAAAUGUUUUACAACCUGCUCUCCAGAGGGG